AGUGAACGCUGGCGGUAGGCCUAACACAUGCAAGUCGAACGGCAGCACAGUAAGAGCUUGCUCUUACGGGUGGCGAGUGGCGGACGGGUGAGGAAUACAUCGGAAUCUACUUUUUCGUGGGGGAUAACGUAGGGAAACUUACACUAAUACCGCAUACGACCUACGGGUGAAAGCAGGGGAUCUUCGGACCUUGCGCGAUUGAAUGAGCCGAUGUCGGAUUAGCUAGUUGGCGGGGUAAAGGCCCACCAAGGCGACGAUCCGUAGCUGGUCUGAGAGGAUGAUCAGCCACACUGGAACUGAGACACGGUCCAGACUCCUACGGGAGGCAGCAGUGGGGAAUAUUGGACAAUGGGCGCAAGCCUGAUCCAGCCAUACCGCGUGGGUGAAGAAGGCCUUCGGGUUGUAAAGCCCUUUUGUUGGGAAAGAAAAGCAGCAGGUUAAUACCCCGUUGUUCUGACGGUACCCAAAGAAUAAGCACCGGCUAACUUCGUG
rnacentral:rRNA from 1 species